UGUUAAAAAUUGAAUCCAUUUGUAUUGUUAGAAACUGAUGUAGCUAACGGAAUAACCAGAUAAUAAUAUACGACAUGUCAUGUGUACCUUAUGUUGACAUAUGAAGACCAAAUUUUAACAACAGAAAUAGGUGAAAUUUUUAAUA
rfam:Gossypium arboreum cultivar AKA8401 contig_7564_1, whole genome shotgun sequence.